GACGAACGCUGGCGGCGUGCUUAACACAUGCAAGUCGAACGGAGUGGCGAAAGGGUGAGUAUUACGUGAGUAACCUCCCCAUAACCGUGGGUUAAGCCUGGGAAACUGGGUCUAAUACUGCAUAUCAGGGGCUGUGCUCGCGGCUAAUCGGCCUGUUGGUGGGGGGAUGGCCUACCAAGGCGGUGGCUGGUAGCCGGCCGGGGAGGGUGGUCGCGCACAAUGGGACUGCGAUACGGCCCAGACUCCUACGGGAGGCAGACGUGGGGGAGAUUGCACAAUGGAGGAGACCCUGAUGCAGCAAGGCCGCGUGCGGGAUGACGGCCUUCGGGUUGUAAACCGCUUUCAGCCAUGACGCGGUAGUGACAGAAGAAGCACCGGCUAACUGCGUGCCAGCAGCCGCGGUAAUAC
rnacentral:rRNA from 1 species